rnacentral:lncRNA from 1 species
CCACCUUCAAAUAUGCAUUUCUAUAUUUGAUAAGUCAAAUUAAAUGUUAUUGUUUUGUUUGUAUAUAUGUUAGUUUUUGUAAAUAUGUAAAGUUUUAAAGAGUUGGAUCUAGUCUUUAUUGGAGCUGUUUAUAGUUUUGUUUUUGAAAAAUGUAUGAUCAAUUUUUUUCUCCUCUGGUUUUAGUUUGUGUUUUGAAUGUGAUGAGAUGUCGUAUUCUGACUCUGAUAUUAUGUUUAGUUUUUGGGAAGGAGAAGGUAUGAUGAUGUGGCUUUUUUAACUCUUUAAUUUGAAAAAAGGAACAGGAAUUAUCAAAAUAAAAAAAAUGUAUCUUUCGUAUUUUUCAAAGUUAUUAUGCUUUUUUUGUUUUUUGUUUGGUAAAGAAGGAAUAGGAAGGUGUCCGUCUUGAAACUUUUUGAAAUAGAGUUUAUUAAAAAAAAAAAUUAGUUGAUCUUAAGAAAUAGUGUCUUUGAU